GACGAACGCUGGCGGCGUGCCUAAUACAUGCAAGUCGAACGCUUCUUUUUCCACCGGAGCUUGCUCCACCGGAAAAAGAGGAGUGGCGAACGGGUGAGUAACACGUGGGUAACCUGCCCAUCAGAAGGGGAUAACACUUGGAAACAGGUGCUAAUACCGUAUAACAAUCAAAACCGCAUGGCUUUGAUUUGAAAGGCGCUUUCGGGUGUCGCUGAUGGAUGGACCCGCGGUGCAUUAGCUAGUUGGUGAGGUAACGGCUCACCAAGGCCACGAUGCAUAGCCGACCUGAGAGGGUGGUCGGCCACAUUGGGACUGAGAAACGGCCCAAACUCCUACGGGAGGCAGCAGUAGGGAAUCGUCGGCAAUGGACGAAAGUCUGACCGAGCAACGCCGCGUGAGUGAAGAAGGUUUUCGGAUCGUAAAACUCUGUUGUUAGAGAAGAACAAGGAUGAGAGUAACUGUUCAUCCCUUGACGGUAUCUAACCAGAAAGCCACGGCUAACUACGUGCCAGCCGCCGCGGUAA
rnacentral:rRNA from 1 species